UUUCUUUGUGAAAUUAAGUCGCUUAAUGAAAGUUUUUUAUAAUUAUUGAGCUCCAUCCAAGCUUUUUAUCAUUUAUUGAACUAACUUUAUUAGGGGAAAGAUAAAAGUACAUAUGUAGUUUCAUUGAGAUGGGAUAUGUUAUGUAACCCAGUUUGUUGACAGAUCAAGUUCAUGUUAUUAUCUAGAGGCCGUGCAAUUUUUGAAAUGACUGGUUAUACUAAUGUCAUGCUCAAGGACAUGGUUUGUAAGGCCUUAUAAAAUUCAAAAUUAAGUCUGCCAUUUAAUAAUGAGAAAUGCUAUUCAGAAAAAAGCAUAGAAAUGAUUGAAAAAUUGUAUUGUUUGCAAAAUUAGCAGUUGUCUAAACUGAAUAUCCUAUUCAAUAAAAUAAAAAGUAAACUCAAUUACAGUUGUUACUUCCUUGAUUACUUGCCAAGCGGAUCCCAGGCUCCCAUGAGCUGUGGCAAAAUGCUGAGACAACGCGAGGAAGAAGAAGAAAUGACAUUUCAAUAUUAUUGAUACAUGCCAUGCCACUUACACACCAUACAGAAAUGGAUUACCUAUCUAAUAAACAUUAUUGUAUUUAGUGAA